CCUACGGGUGGCUGCAGUGGGGAAUAUUGGACAAUGGGCGAAAGCCUGAUCCAGCCAUGCCGCGUGUGUGAAGAAGGCCUUCGGGUUGUAAAGCACUUUCAGUGGGGAAGAAAGCCUUGGGGCUAAUACCCUCGAGGAAGGACAUCACCCACAGAAGAAGCACCGGCUAACUCCGUGCCAGCAGCCGCGGUAAUACGGAGGGUGCGAGCGUUAAUCGGAAUUACUGGGCGUAAAGCGCGCGUAGGCGGUCUGAUAAGCCGGUUGUGAAAGCCCCGGGCUCAACCUGGGAACGGCAUCCGGAACUGUCAGGCUAGAGUGCAGGAGAGGAAGGUAGAAUUCCCGGUGUAGCGGUGAAAUGCGUAGAGAUCGGGAGGAAUACCAGUGGCGAAGGAGGCCUUCUGGACUGACACUGACGCUGAGGUGCGAAAGCGUGGGUAGCAAACAGGAUUAGAUACCCGGGUAGUC
rnacentral:rRNA from 1 species